rnacentral:rRNA from 1 species
GUGCCCUUGAGGCGUGGCUUCCGGAGCUAACGCGUUAAGUAGACCGCCUGGGGAGUACGGCCGCAAGGUUAAAACUCAAAUGAAUUGACGGGGGCCCGCACAAGCGGUGGAGCAUGUGGUUUAAUUCGAUGCAACGCGAAGAACCUUACCUGGUCUUGACAUCCACAGAAGAAUCCAGAGAUGGAUUUGUGCCUUCGGGAACUGUGAGACAGGUGCUGCAUGGCUGUCGUCAGCUCGUGUUGUGAAAUGUUGGGUUAAGUCCCGCAACGAGCGCAACCCUUAUCCUUUGUUGCCAGCGGUCCGGCCGGGAACUCAAAGGAGACUGCCAGUGAUAAACUGGAGGAAGGUGGGGAUGACGUCAAGUCAUCAUGGCCCUUACGACCAGGGCUACACACGUGCUACAAUGGCGCAUACAAAGAGAAGCGACCUCGCGAGAGCAAGCGGACCUCAUAAAGUGCGUCGUAGUCCGGAUUGGAGUCUGCAACUCGACUCCAUGAAGUCGGAAUCGCUAGUAAUCGUGGAUCAGAAUGCCACGGUGAAUACGUUCCCGGGCCUUGUACACACCGCCCGUCACACCAUGGGAGUGGGUUGCAAAAGAAGUAGGUAGCUUAACCUUCGGGAGGGCGCUUACCACUUUGUGAUUCAUGACUGGGGUGAAGUCGUAACAAGGUAACCGUAGGGGAACCUGC